rnacentral:rRNA from 1 species
UACGGGGGGGGCAAGCGUUGUUCGGAAUUACUGGGCGUAAAGGGCUCGUAGGCGGCCAACUAAGUCGGAUGUGAAAUCCCCAGGCUUAACCUGGGAAUUGCAUCCGAUACUGGAUGGCUUGAAUCCGGGAGAGGGAUGCGGAAUUCCAGGUGUAGCGGUGAAAUGCGUAGAUAUCUGGAAGAACACCCGUGGCUAAGGCGGCUCUCUAGUACGGUACUGACGCUGAGACGCGAAAGCGUGGGGAGCGAACAGG